rnacentral:rRNA from 1 species
GACACGACUCCCGGCAAUGGAUAUCUCGGCUCACGCAUCGAUGAAGAGCGCAGCGAAAUGCGAUACGUGGUGCGAAUUGCAGAAUCCCGCGAACCAUCGAGUCUUUGAACGCAAGUUGCGCCCGAGGCCAACCGGCCAAGGGCACGUCUGCCUGGGCGUCAAGC